AUGAGAAUUUCAAUUAAUACAAUUAAUACAUUAAGGUCUAUUAGGGAUGAGAAUCAAGGAAUUUGUUUUAUCAGGCCUAAAAACCCAAGCUAUAGCUCUAAUUCAUUAAAUAAUAAAUAUAAGGUCUGGGGGGAUGAGAAUCAAGGAAUUUGUUUUAUCAGGCCUAAAAACCCACGCUAUAGCUCUAAUUCAUUAAAUAAUAAAUAUAAGGUCUGGGGGGAUGAGAAUCAAGGAAUUUGUUUUAUCAGGCCUAAAAACCCACGCUAUAGCUCUAAUUCAUUAAAUAAUAAAUAUAAGGUCUGGGGGGAUGAGAAUCAAGGAAUUUGUUUUAUCAGGCCUAAAAACCCACGCUAUACCUCUAAUUCAUUAAAUAAUAAAUAUAAGGUCUGGGGGGAUGAGAAUCAAGGAAUUUGUUUUAUCAGGCCUAAAAACCCACGCUAUAGCUCUAAUUCAUUAAAUAAUAAAUAUAAGGUCUGGGGGGAUGAGAAUCAAGGAAUUUGUUUUAUCAGGCCUAAAAACCCACGCUAUAGCUCUAAUUCAUUAAAUAAUAAAUAUAAGGUCUGGGGGGAUGAGAAUCAAGGAAUUUGUUUUAUCAGGCCUAAAAACCCACGCUAUAGCUCUAAUUCAUUAAAUAAUAAAUAUAAGGUCUGGGGGGAUGAGAAUCAAGGAAUUUGUUUUAUCAGGCCUAAAAACCCACGCUAUACCUCUAAUUCAUUAAAUAAUAAAUAUAAGGUCUGGGGGGAUGAGAAUCAAGGAAUUUGUUUUAUCAGGCCUAAAAACCCACGCUAUACCUCUAAUUCAUUUAAUAAUAAAUAUAAGGUCUGGGGGGAUGAGAAUCAAGGAAUUUGUUUUAUCAGGCCUAAAAACCUACGCUAUAGCUCUAAUUCAUUAAAUAAUAAAUAUAAGGUCUGGGGGAUGAGAAUCAAGGAAUUUGUUUUAUCAGGCCUAAAAACCCAUGUUAGAGCUCUAAUUCAUUAAAUAAUAAAUAUAAGGUCUGGGGGGAUGAGAAUCAAGGAAUUUGUUUUAUUAGGCCUAAAACCCACGCUAUAGCUCUAAUUCAUUAAAUAAUAAAUAUAAGGUCUGGGGGGAUGAGAAUCAAGGAAUUUGUUUUAUCAGGCCUAAAAAACCGUGUUAGAGCUCUAAUUCAUUAAAUAAUAAAUAUAAGGUCUGGGGGGAUGAGAAUCAAGGAAUUUGUUUUAUCAGGCCUAAAAACCCACGCUAUAGCUCUAAUUCAUUAAAUAAUAAAUAUAAGGUCUGGGGGGAUGAGAAUCAAGGAAUUUGUUUUAUCAGGCCUAAAAACCCACGCUAUAGCUCUAAUUCAUUAAAUAAUAAAUAUAAGGUCUGGGGGGAUGAGAAUCAAGGAAUUUGUUUUAUCAGGCCUAAAAACCCACGCUAUAGCUCUAAUUCAUUAAAUAAUAAAUAUAAGGUCUGGGGGGAUGAGAAUCAAGGAAUUUGUUUUAUCAGGCCUAAAAACCCACGCUAUACCUCUAAUUCAUUAAAUAAUAAAUAUAAGGUCUGGGGGGAUGAGAAUCAAGGAAUUUGUUUUAUCAGGCCUAAAAACCCACGCUAUACCUCUAAUUCAUUUAAUAAUAAAUAUAAGGUCUGGGGGGAUGAGAAUCAAGGAAUUUGUUUUAUCAGGCCUAAAAACCUACGCUAUAGCUCUAAUUCAUUAAAUAAUAAAUAUAAGGUCUGGGGGAUGAGAAUCAAGGAAUUUGUUUUAUCAGGCCUAAAAACCCAUGUUAGAGCUCUAAUUCAUUAAAUAAUAAAUAUAAGGUCUGGGGGGAUGAGAAUCAAGGAAUUUGUUUUAUUAGGCCUAAAACCCACGCUAUAGCUCUAAUUCAUUAAAUAAUAAAUAUAAGGUCUGGGGGGAUGAGAAUCAAGGAAUUUGUUUUAUCAGGCCUAAAAAACCGUGUUAGAGCUCUAAUUCAUUAAAUAAUAAAUAUAAGGUCUGGGGGGAUGAGAAUCAAGGAAUUUGUUUUAUUAGGCCUAAAAACCCACGCUAUACCUCUAAUUCAUUAAAUAAUAAAUAUAAGGUCUGGGGGGAUGAGAAUCAAGGAAUUUGUUUUAUCAGGCCUAAAAACCCACGCUAUACCUCUAAUUCAUUAAAUAAUAAAUAUAAGGUCUGGGGGGAUGAGAAUCAAGGAAUUUGUUUUAUCAGGCCUAAAAACCCACGCUAUAGCUCUAAUUCAUUAAAUAAUAGAUAUAAGGUCUGGGGGGAUGAGAAUCAAGGAAUUUGUUUUAUCAGGCCUAAAAACCCACGCUAUAGCUCUAAUUCAUUAAAUAAUAAAUAUAAGGUCUGGGGGGAUGAGAAUCAAGGAAUUUGUUUUAUCAGGCCUAAAAACCCACGCUAUACCUCUAAUUCAUUAAAUAAUAAAUAUAAGGUCUGGGGGGAUGAGAAUCAAGGAAUUUGUUUUAUCAGGCCUAAAAACCCACGCUAUACCUCUAAUUCAUUUAAUAAUAAAUAUAAGGUCUGGGGGAUGAGAAUCAAGGAAUUUGUUUUAUCAGGCCUAAAAACCCAUGUUAGAGCUCUAAUUCAUUAAAUAAUAAAUAUAAGGUCUGGGGGGAUGAGAAUCAAGGAAUUUGUUUUAUUAGGCCUAAAACCCACGCUAUAGCUCUAAUUCAUUAAAUAAUAAAUAUAAGGUCUGGGGGGAUGAGAAUCAAGGAAUUUGUUUUAUCAGGCCUAAAAAACCGUGUUAGAGCUCUAAUUCAUUAAAUAAUAAAUAUAAGGUCUGGGGGGAUGAGAAUCAAGGAAUUUGUUUUAUUAGGCCUAAAACCCCAUGUUAGAGCUCUAAAUCAUUAAAGUUAUUGUUGUCAUAUAAUUAUUUAUUGGAAAAGAAAUAAAAAUUAGAUUUUUAUAAAA